AAUUUUGGACAAUGGGCGAAAGCCUGAUCCAGCCAUGCCGCGUGCAGGAUGAAGGCCUUCGGGUUGUAAACUGCUUUUGUACGGAACGAAAAGCCUCUUUCUAAUAAAGAGGGGUCAUGACGGUACCGUAAGAAUAAGCACCGGCUAACUACGUGCCAGCAGCCGCGGUAAUACGUAGGGUGCAAGCGUUAAUCGGAAUUACUGGGCGUAAAGCGUGCGCAGGCGGUUUUGUAAGACAGAGGUGAAAUCCCCGGGCUCAACCUGGGAACUGCCUUUGUGACUGCAAGGCUGGAGUGCGGCAGAGGGGGAUGGAAUUCCGCGUGUAGCAGUGAAAUGCGUAGAUAUGCGGAGGAACACCGAUGGCGAAGGCAAUCCCCUGGGCCUGCACUGACGCUCAUGCACGAAAGCGUGGGGAGCAA
rnacentral:rRNA from 1 species